GACGAACGCUGGCGGCGUGCUUAACACAUGCAAGUCGUACGGUAAGGCCCUUUCGGGGGUCCACGAGUGGCGAACGGGUGAGUAACACGUGAGUAACCUGCCCACAACUUUGGGAUAACGCUAGGAAACUGGUGCUAAUACUGGAUAUGUGCUCCUGCUGCAUGGUGGGGGUUGGAAAGCUCCGGCGGUUGUGGAUGGACUCGCGGCCUAUCAGCUUGUUGGUGGGGUAGUGGCCUACCAAGGCGGCGACGGGUAGCCGGCCUGAGAGGGUGACCGGCCACAUUUGGACUGAGAAACGGCCAAGACUCCUACGGGACGCAGCAGUGGGGAAGAUUGCACAAUGGGCGCAAGCCUGAUGCAGCAACGCCGCGUGCGGGAUGACCGCCUUCGGGUUGUAACCCGCUUUCAGCAGGGACGAAGCUUUUUGUGACGGUACCUGCAGAAGAAGCACCGGCUAACUACGUG
rnacentral:rRNA from 1 species